UGGGGAAUAUUGCACAAUGGGCGCAAGCCUGAUGCAGCGACGCCGCGUGAGGGAUGACGGCCUUCGGGUUGUAAACCUCUUUCAGCAGGGACGAAGCGCAAGUGACGGUACCUGCAGAAGAAGCACCGGCCAACUACGUGCCAGCAGCCGCGGUAAUACGUAGGGUGCGAGCGUUGUCCGGAAUUACUGGGCGUAAAGAGCUCGUAGGCGGUUUGUCGCGUCGUCUGUGAAAUUCUGCAGCUUAACUGCAGGCGUGCAGGCGAUACGGGCAGACUUGAGUACUACAGGGGAGACUGGAAUUCCUGGUGUAGCGGUGAAAUGCGCAGAUAUCAGGAGGAACACCGGUGGCGAAGGCGGGUCUCUGGGUAGUAACUGACGCUGAGGAGCGAAAGCGUGGGUAGCGAACAGGAUUAGAUACCCUGGUAGUCCACGCCGUAAACGGUGGGUACUAGGUGUGGGUUCCAUUUCACGGGAUCCGUGCCGUAGCUAACGCAUUAAGUACCCCGCCUGGGGAGUACGGCCGCAAGGCUAAAACUCAAAGGAAUUGACGGGGUCAUAGCUGUUUU
rnacentral:rRNA from 1 species